rnacentral:rRNA from 1 species
ACGGGUACACCGCGACGACAGCGUGCGUCGCCGUUUCCCAAGGUGCCGCCUCUGUACCUUCCUACUGCCCCCACCCCGGUAAUGGUAUCUACUCGCGUCGGGGCUCGUCUAGGCUAAUCCUAGGAAGAGAGGUAGAGUGAGAAACACGGAAGAGGGGAGAGACGAGAGGGCAGAGAGAGUUAGACGUCGUUCCGCAGCGCCCGAGCGCCGACACUGCGGCCGCCGCAUUCCCGGACGCCGCCGCCAUCUUUGGUGGUGUGGGAGACGUAGGUUAAAGAGAAAGAUUGCAGAGACACGUAGUCGUCCAAAAUCAUCUGCUAGGUCUAACUCUUCCAGUGUACUCAAACGGUCGUCGUGGGUAGACACAUACGAGUUAAUGGAUAGUGACUCCUCGUUAGCAUAGUGUUACUACGUGUACGUCUUGUUCGGGCCAACAGGUUCCAAGUUUAUGACACAUGAAUUACUCAACAUAAAACACUUAGGAAUAAUGACACAAAGUACUUAGAUCUGUUACUAUUAUGAUUAGGUCUGAAACAGCCAUACCUACUACAACAUCGGCGUUAACUCGGAGGUGGAGGAUACAAAAAACUUCCCGAACCCUUACUGUGAUUAUUUCACCUACCCGUUCGAGUUUGGUUGCUCCAAUGCUACACUAAUUAAAGAAUCUUCAAGUAUAUACAAGACGAAGCACAGUAGAAAUCACGAAGUUCCCGUUUGCCGAUCUAAGUUAAACCUCGCAGCGCCCUUCCUCGUCCGUCGUCGCGGUUAUGUGACUCCCACCUCGUCGUCUCAGUGGACUAGAUGGUCAUACAGACUAACUACGACGGGUGACGAGGUAGUCGAACGUAGGUCGUAGAGAUUUAAUCGUAAUACAGUCC